UGCGGGUUAGAGGAGCGGUUCCUUGCUGGCCUCAUAAGCCGGAGACUCCAGUUCGAAUCUGGAACCCGCAACCA
rnacentral:tRNA from 1 species